GAUGAACGCUGGCGGCGUGCUUAACACAUGCAAGUCGAACGGAAAGGCUCCUGCUUGCAGGGGUACUCGAGUGGCGAACGGGUGAGUAACACGUGGGUGAUCUGCCCUGCACUUCGGGAUAAGCCUGGGAAACUGGGUCUAAUACCGGAUAGGACGAUGGUUUGGAUGCCAUUGUGGAAAGUUUUUUCGGUGUGGGAUGAGCUCGCGGCCUAUCAGCUUGUUGGUGGGGUAAUGGCCUACCAAGGCGUCGACGGGUAGCCGGCCUGAGAGGGUGUACGGCCACAUUGGGACUGAGAUACGGCCCAGACUCCUACGGGAGGCAGGAGUGGGGAAUAUUGCACAAUGGGCGCAAGCCUGAUGCAGCGACGCCGCGUGGGGGAUGACGGCCUUCGGGUUGUAAACUCCUUUCGCUAGGGACGAAGCGCAAGUGACGGUACCUGGAGAAGAAGCACCGGCUAACUACGUG
rnacentral:rRNA from 1 species